rnacentral:rRNA from 1 species
AACGCGAAGAACCUUACCUGGGCUCGAAGCACAGUGGACCGGGGUAGAAAUAUCCCUUUUCGCAAGAACUGCUGUGGAGGUGCUGCAUGGCUGUCGUCAGCUCGUGUCGUGAGAUGUUGGGUUAAGUCCCGCAACGAGCGCAACCCUUAUCGUUAGUUGCCAGCGAGUCAAGUCGGGCACUCUAGCGAAACCGCCCCGGAUAACGGGGAGGAAGGUGGGGAUGACGUCAAGUCCUCAUGGCCUUUAUGUCCAGGGCUACACACGUGCUACAAUGGUCGGUACAAACCGUCGCAAACCUGCGAAGGGGAGCUAAUCGGAAAAAGCCGGCCUCAGUUCGGAUUGGAGUCUGCAACUCGACUCCAUGAAGCUGGAAUCGCUAGUAAUCGCGGAUCAGCACGCCGCGGUGAAUACGUUCCCGGGCCUUGUACACACCGACGCAC